rnacentral:rRNA from 1 species
GCCCAGACUCCUACGGGAGGCAGCAGUGGGGAAUAUUGGACAAUGGGGGGGACCCUGAUCCAGCGACGCCGCGUGAGUGAAGAAGUAUUUCGGUAUGUAAAGCUCUAUCAGCAGGGAAGAAAGAAAUGACGGUACCUGACUAAGAAGCCCCGGCUAACUACGUGCCAGCAGCCGCGGUAAUACGUAGGGGGCAAGCGUUAUCCGGAUUUACUGGGUGUAAAGGGAGCGUAGACGGCCAUGCAAGUCUGAUGUGAAAACCCGGGGCUCAACCCCGGGACUGCAUUGGAAACUGUGCGGCUGGAGUGUCGGAGAGGCAAGUGGAAUUCCUAGUGUAGCGGUGAAAUGCGUAGAUAUUAGGAGGAACACCAGUGGCGAAGGCGGCUUACUGGACUGUAACUGACGUUGAGGCUCGAAAGCGUGGGGAGCAAACAGGAUUAGAUACCCCAGUAGA